GGGGAUGAUAGGCAUCGACGGGAAAGUACUUUAACACGUUGCAAGCCGAGUUUGACUAACAACUCGUUAAACAAUAGUCAAAAAUAUAAAAGGCACGGGUCAAACCGAAGCCCGAGCUUAUAAUUACGCAUUCGCGUAAUAUAGCUCGCAUCCGCACACUAUGUGUCUGGUCGUAAUGUGUUGGGUGUCAACUGAUAACCCAGAACGCAACCAGUAACCUGAUCAGUACCGGCCAAGCCUUGAUCUUUGCUUGGAAACUAACUUUGGUUUGCUAGAGAGUUUCCCGGCGAGAAUAAUUAGCAAAAUAAGCUUGUAGACACGUUUAAAAAUCUUGCUCGGAUGAGGGUUCAACUCCCUCCAUCUCCACAA
rnacentral:tmRNA from 1 species